CGCAGGAGUGAAAACUGUGAGAUGAGGAGGGCAAAGAAGUGAAGGUGACCAGAGGCUAUUCACAGCUGUUGUUGAGGGGAAUUUGAGAUUCAAAGCUCUGCAUCACAAGAUCUAAAGAGGCAAUGCAGAUGUCAGAGUUUGGGAGCCAGACCACUUCUACAGCUGAGGACCUCUUUGAUUUCUUAUUGACUGGGAAAUAACUGACAAAUCAGUCAACGUUCCAUGCCUGUCUCCUCCUCCCCUCCCCCCCAUCCUUUUUGAUAAAAAGUAAUUGGGAGGAACAAUCUCCUUUUGGAAAUCAGACACAGCCUUCACCUCUCAAGGGAGGACCUGCAAGAGAAGACAUCUAGACUCUGCUUUGAAUGCUACUGAUCUGGAUUUUGGAAGUGGAC